UACGUAGGUGGCAAGCGUUGUCCGGAGUUAUUGGGCGUAAAGCGCGCGCAGGCGGUGCGGUAAGUCUCUGGUGAAAGCGCUCGGCUUAACUGGGCGAGGGCCGGGGAGACUGCCACGCUGGAGGGGAGCAGAGGCGAGUGGAAUUCCGGGUGUAGUGGUGAAAUUCGUAGAUAUUCGCAAGAACACCAGUGGCGAAGGCGGCGCUCUGGAACGUUUCUGACACUGAGGCUCGAAAGCGUGGGGAGCAAACAGG
rnacentral:rRNA from 1 species